UGUCCUCAUAUAUCUUUAGUUAUAAUUUUAGAGAGAUGUAAAAUGACUUCACGGAUAUCUAAUUUAACCCGCUGAGAUGAGAAGAAGAUGAGAGGAAACACGCUUCAGUGCUGAUCUGUAGCGCUCGCGGGUCACUGCACAGAGCUGAAGUCUGAGAGGAAGACAACACAACUGCUUUAAUGCUGUUUUACUACACUUUUACUAUAAUAAACACCAACAUCUCAAUCCAACCAGUGACAACCCUGUGUAUGUAUUUAAUUCUGCUAUGGCUCAGCAAUGUUUUAUAAGCAGUUCUGUAGAAAUGAGUCAUGUCAUUGUCCAGCUCAGUUCAGUUCAAUAGCAUCAGUACAUCAUUUAUAAUAAUGGAAUAAACUAAAUUGUACUGAAUACAGUGUAUUUGUUUGUUUGUUUGUUUGUUUCUAGGAGAGCAUCAACCCCUAAUUGACAUGAGGAACAAAUCAUUGAAAGGUGUUCAGCGUUUGCAACAGAGGAAGCUUUAGGAAAGAAGAGAAGAGAGGAAGUGAAAAGGCACUCAACAGAUGUUGGAAAAUUCACUGGUAACAACUAAAAAAAAGACGACCAAAAAUAUAAUUCAACAGAAGAUGAUGGCUGUGGUGAAACAAGCACUCAAAUAAUGAAACUAAGACCAGUGGGAGUGCUGGAGAAAUCAAGUGUAUAAGUCUGUCGUCUCAGCCAUGGAAGAGAUCUUCAGACAUGAAGAGAUCGAGGAGUUAAAUGAAAUCAAAGAGCUAAAAGAAGAUUUACAAUAUUAGUGCCAUUUCAGUAUGAAAACAGAGAGAGAGCUGAGGGAAUGGAAAGAAAUGCAUGUUAUUGUGUAGUUGCAUGGACUAUCAGUGGAGGAACAGAAAGCUCUGAGAUUUCAUUAUAAAGAUCUUCAUUUAUGUUCUGAAGAUGAACGAAAGACUUGCGGGUUUGGGACGUCAUGAGGACUACAUCAAAAAUAGUGCUUCCACAUCUGAGAUGAAGGCAGUCAUAAGAACCAAGCAGAACGAUGAGGAUAAGCUCUUCAAAAAAUGAAACCUGUCUGAAUAAUGAGGGAAGAAAUGUGCAUGAUUGUGUGAUUUGUAAAUAAACACUAAAUACAUUUAGUGUAACUCUCAGCCUGUUAUUUUAAGUUUAAAGAAAAGUAAAAUAAUUUAUUGUUGCAUUGCUGUUUGAGACAUUCACUGUUGUUUUGUACCUUAAUUUAUUAUAUUGCAGUUGUG